rnacentral:snRNA from 1 species
UUGCUUUGGUAGCACAUAUACUAAAACUGGAAUGAUACAGAGAAGAUUACCACAGCCCAUGCGCCAGGAUGACGUGCAAAUUUGUGAAGUGUUCCAUAUUUUU